rnacentral:rRNA from 1 species
GGUUUGAUCAUGGCUCAGAUUGAACGCUGGCGGGAUGCUUUACAUGCAAGUCGAACGGCAGCACGGACUUCGGUCUGGUGGCGAGUGGCGAACGGGUGAGUAAUGUAUCGGAACGUGCUAGUAGCGGGGGAUAACUACGCGAAAGCGUAGCUAAUACCGCAUACGCCCUUCGGGGGAAAGCGGGGGGGACCUUCGGGCCUCGCACUAUUAGAGCGGCCGAUAUCAGUUAGCUAGUUGGUGGGGUAACGGCUCACCAAGGCGACGAUCCGUAGCUGGUUUGAAGGACGACCAGCCACACUGGGACUGAGACGGCCCGAACUCCUACGGGAAGCAGCAGUGGGGAAUUUGGACAAUGGGGAAACCCUGAUCCAGCCAUCCCGCGUGUGCGAUGAAGGCCUUCGGGUUGUAAAGCACUUUUGGCAGGAAAAGAAACGGCACGGGAUAUUACCCCGUGCAACUGACAGUACCUGCAGAAUAAGCACCGGCUAACUACGUGCCAACAGCCGCGGUAAUACGUAGGAGUGCAAGCGUUAAUCGGAGUUACUGGGCGUAAAGCGUGCAGGCGGUCCGGAAAGAAGAUGUGAAAUCCCAGAGCUUAACUUUGGAACUGCAUUUUUAACUACCGAGCUAGAGUGUGUCAGAGGGAGGUGGAAUUCCGCGUGUAGCAAGUGAAAUGCGUAGAUAUGCGGAGGAACACCGAUGGCGAAAGAGCAGCCUCCUGGGAUAACACUGACGCUCAUGCACAACGUGGGGAGCAAACAGGAUUAGAUACCCUGGUAGUCCACGCCCUCUAAACGAUGUCAACUAGCUGUUGAGACCUUCGGGCCUUGUUAAUGCAACUAACAUGAAGUUGACCGCCUGGGGAGUACAGUCGCGAGAUUAAAACUCAAAGGAAUUGACGGGGACCCACAGAAGCGGUGGAUGAUGUGGAUUAAUUCGAUGCAACGCGAAAAACCUUACCUACCCUUGACAUGUCUGGAAUCCCGAAGAGAUUUGGGAGUGCUCGCAAGAGAACCGGGAGACACAGGUGCUGCAUGGCUGUCGUCAGCUCGUAUCGUGAGAUGUUGGGUUAAGUCCCGCAACGAGCGCAACCCUUGUCAUUAGUUGCUACGAAAGGACACUCUAAUGAGACUGCCGGUGACAAACCGGAGGAAGGUGGGGAUGACGUCAAGUCCUCAUGGCCCUUAUGGGUAGGGCUUCACACGUCAUACAAUGGUCGGGACAGAGGGUCGCCAACCCGCGAGGGGAGCCAAUCCCGAAACCCGAUCGUAGUCGGAUCGCAGUCUGCAGCUCACGACUGCGUGAAGUCGGAAUCGCUAACAAUCGCGGAUCAGCAUGUCGCGGUGAAUACGUUCCCGGGUCUUGUACACACCGCCCGUCACCAUGGGAGUGGGUUUUACCAGAAGUAGUUAGCCUAACCGUAAGGAGGGCGAUUACCACGGUAAGUUCAUGACUGGGGUGAAGUCGUAACAAGGUAG